rnacentral:rRNA from 1 species
CAACAGGGAUUGCCCCAGUAACGGCGAGUGAAGCGGCAACAGCUCAAAUUUGAAAUCUGGCCCUUUCAGGGUCCGAGUUGUAAUUUGCAGAGGAUGCUUUGGCGUCGGCCGUGGUCUAAGUUCCUUGGAACAGGACGUCACAGAGGGUGAGAAUCCCGUACGUGGCCGCCGGCCUUCGCCGUGUAAAGCUCCUUCGACGAGUCGAGUUGUUUGGGAAUGCAGCUCUAAAUGGGAGGUAAAUUUCUUCUAAAGCUAAAUAUUGGCCAGAGACCGAUAGCGCACAAGUAGAGUGAUCGAAAGAUGAAAAGCACUUUGGAAAGAGAGUCAAAAAGCACGUGAAAUUGUUGAAAGGGAAGCGCUUGCAGCCAGACGUGCCCGCAGUUGCUCACCCGGGCUCUCGCCCGGGGCACUCUUCUGCGGGCAGGCCAGCAUCAGUCCGGGCGGUUGGAUAAAGGCCUCUAUCACGUACCACCUUUCGGGGUGGCCUUAUAGGGGAGGCGCAACACGGCCAGCCUGGACUGAGGACCGCGCAUCAGCUAGGAUGCUGGCGUAAUGGCUGUAAGCGGCCCGUCUUGAAACACGGACCAAGGAGUCUAACAUCUAUGCGAGUGUUUGGGUGUCAAGCCCGGGCGCGCAAUGAAAGUGAACGGAGGUGGGAACCCCUCGGGGCGCACCAUCGACCGAUCCUGAAGUCUUCGGAUGGAUUUGAGUAAGAGCAUAGCUGUUGGGACCCGAAAGAUGGUGAACUAUGCCUGAAUAGGGUGAAGCCAGGGGAAACCCUGGUGGAGGCUCGCAGCGGUUCUGACGUGCAAAUCGAUCGUCAAAUUUGGGCAUAGGGGCGAAAGACUAAUCGAACAUCUAGUACUGGUCU